rnacentral:misc_RNA from 1 species
GAAAUGCGAUAAUUAAUGUGAAUUGCAGAAUUCAGUGAAUCAUCGAGUCUUUGAACGCACAUUGCGCCCACUGGUAUUCCGGGGGGCAUGCCUGUCCGAGCGUCAUUGCUGCCCUCAAGCACGGCUUGUGUGUUGGGCUUCCGUCCCUGGCAACGGGGACGGGCCCAAAAGGCAGUGGCGGCACCAUGUCUGGUCCUCGAGCGUAUGGGGCUUUGUCACCCGCUCCCGUAGGUCCAGCUGGCAGCUAGCCUCGCAACCAAUCUUUUUAACCAGGUUGACCUCGGAUCAGGUAGGGAUACCCGCUGAACUUAAGC